GCCUCGGUGGUGUAGGAUUUCAUAAAUGCAGAAUGGUCUAGCAUAUAGCCCUGUCGAGGCUAUGACCCGGGUUCGAAUCCCGGCCGAGGCG
rnacentral:tRNA from 1 species